rnacentral:lncRNA from 13 species
CCAUUGACGUAAUGAGAUCUGCAAGGAAAUCCGCCACGUUGAGGAAAUCAGUCGCCAUGCGACGCGAUCGAUCUACGCAUUAUCUCUAACGAUGGAUCAAAUGACGGUGAUUUAAGAUUUAUGAAGAGGUUUCAAAAAAGCCAGAUUUUAUUGUAAUUCUUUUUAAAUUAAUUUCUUAAAAUUACGCGAUUGAUUACCUUCAAGUAAUUAUCAAAUUUAUUUAAAUAUAAUGUAUGAAGUUUUCCGAAAAACUGGGUAAUAUAUUAACGUUUACAACAAAGUAUGUAGAUAAAACAGUAGCAAAACGUCAGAAUUUACUAUAUGUGUAAUUAGAAAUUCUUAGAAAUAUAACGAAGAAUUGCCAAUACGA